UUGUCUGGGUCGAGUCCAAGGGAAUUGCUUCUUAAUUUUGAAAAUCAAAUAUUUCGAAGGAAUGAAGCAGACAUUCGCCUCAUCAUAUGGACGAUGAUGUGCAAAAUCGCCAAUUUCGAUCUAUGUAUCGACCAACCAUAUAUACAAUGGUAUUUGUAUACCAUAUACCAUUCCUAUAUGGCGCCAUUUAUUCGGUUUACGAUUCGCCGACUUAGUCACUUCUAUUUAAUUUCAUUUCUACAUUCUUCAGUUUUAUAUAUCGUGAACACAACACCUUCGCAACUGAUUGUUUCAUCAUUUGGAGAGGAUCAACUCUUUGCAUUUGAACCGGUUCAUUAUAAUUCUGCGAGGAGGAAACGAUGAGAAUUAUUGUUUUCGUAGUUUUAUGGAAAGAUUCCCUUCAUCGAUUCAAAUAAAAGGGUGGAAAAUUAUUAAACUUCGGAACCAAACAUUCAAAUUUAAAGGAAUGAGAAUGGAUGGGUUUAUCGAACUCGAGAGGAGGAAAAUUGUCAUAAUGGAAUUGUAUCUAUAUUGAAUCAUCAUAUUCAUAUGAAUGAAGUGCAAGUGGAAAAUUUGUAAAGUGGAAUAAGGAACGGCGAAUAUAAUGAUGGAGAUCUGGAAUUGACGUGACUUUUGGAAACUUUUCGACGAAGAAAUUCUAAUCUGCCCGAAAAAUGAAAAGCUCAAUUACUUUGGAUACGAAACGAGCAAAAUUAUAUGAACUGCGAUAAAAAAAAGGACUGUUAUGAAUUAAAAUUGAUGUGAGAGUAGAAAAUUAUCACUGUUUUGGGGCAAAAAGAAUUUGGAGGAAUUUUAUUUGGACGAAUUUCGUUUCGAGAUGAAUUUGGAGAAAUUCUUUUGGAGCAUCUUCAUUUGCAGAUAAAUUCGAAGGAGUUUCGAAUCCAACGAAUAAUUUCCUCAAUAAGGAAAUUUUGACUUCCUUCAGCGCGCAGUUUACGAUAAAACAACGUGAGAAACAUCAAAUCGCAGCACUACUCGUGUUCACUGGACCGUUCUCGA